rnacentral:rRNA from 1 species
UGGGGAAUCUUGCACAAUGGGCGAAAGCCUGAUGCAGCGACGCCGCGUGGGGGAUGAAGCUUCUCGGAGUGUAAACCCCUUUCGCCUGGGACGAAUGCCCGCAAGGGAGUGACGGUACCAGGAUAAGAAGCCCCGGCUAACUACGUGCCAGCAGCCGCGGUAAGACGUAGGGGGCCAGCGUUGUUCGGAAUUACUGGGUGUAAAGGGUUCGUAGGCGGUGUGGCAAGUUGGGAGUGAAAUCUCUGGGCUCAACCCAGAGGCUGCUUCCAAAACUGCUGUGCUUGAGUGUGAGAGAGGCUCGUGGAAUUGCAGGUGUAGCGGUGAAAUGCGUAGAUAUCUGCAGGAACACCCGUGGCGAAAGCGGCGAGCUGGAUCACUACUGACGCUGAGGAACGAAAGCUAGGGGAGCAAACAGGAUUAGAUACCCUGGUAGUCCUAGCCCUAAACGAUCAGGACUUGGGGUGCCGCCCGUUCGGGCGUCGUCCCGGAGCUAACGCGUUAAGUCCUGCACCUGGGGAGUACGGUCGCAAGAC